rnacentral:lncRNA from 1 species
GAGAAAACACGAGCCUCUAUUGACUCAAAGGGGUUUAUUAUUCCGAAAAAGACUCCUUUAAACUAGAAAAAAUAGUCGAAUUUGGUGAACAGAAAAGAGUAUGCAAUGAAGGUUGCUGGUCAGGCAACCAUUACACUGAUGAAAAAAGGAAAAGGAAAAAAUAGAUGAAAAGGCAUGAGGAAGAGAAAAUUGGAAAAAGGGAGGUGGGUGUCAGUCAAAGGAGGUCACAAAUGGUAGGGAGGCAAUAAGGAAUCCGACCAACACAACCACUAAUGAAAGGAAGAGGAGACAAAAGAAUGGGAAAUG